rnacentral:rRNA from 1 species
GUAUUUUGUAAAGUUGUUCUAGUUUUGUAACUAAAAUGGUUUGGCAGUGAGCGAUUCUUAUUAGGGGAAUAUGCAUAGUGAAGGAUGGUCCACCUAUUAGUUUACUCUUUUUAUGUUGGUGUAUGUCUGGUUUGAUAUUAUUGUUGAAUAAUUUAAGUUUGUGUAGUUUUAGUUAAGCUAAGUCUAUGUGCUGCUUAUGGGAGUUUUUGUGUGUUACAUUAAUAAGGGUGUUAUUGUAAGAUGAUGUGAUUUAGG